GAUUCCCCCAGUAGCGGCGAGCGAACGGGGAGCAGCCCAGAGCCUGAAUCAGUGUGUGUGUUAGUGGAAGCGUCUGGAAAGGCGCGCGAUACAGGGUGACAGCCCCGUACACAAAAAUGCACAUGCUGUGAGCUCGAUGAGUAGGGCGGGACACGUGGUAUCCUGUCUGAAUAUGGGGGGACCAUCCUCCAAGGCUAAAUACUCCUGACUGACCGAUAGUGAACCAGUACCGUGAGGGAAAGGCGAAAAGAACCCCGGCGAGGGGAGUGAAAAAGAACCUGAAACCGUGUACGUACAAGCAGUGGGAGCACGCUUAGGCGUGUGACUGCGUACCUUUUGUAUAAUGGGUCAGCGACUUAUAUUCUGUAGCAAGGUUAACCGAAUAGGGGAGCCGAAGGGAAACCGAGUCUUAACUGGGCGUUAAGUUGCAGGGUAUAGACCCGAAACCCGGUGAUCUAGCCAUGGGCAGGUUGAAGGUUGGGUAACACUAACUGGAGGACCGAACCGACUAAUGUUGAAAAAUUAGCGGAUGACUUGUGGCUGGGGGUGAAAGGCCAAUCAAACCGGGAGAUAGCUGGUUCUCCCCGAAAGCUAUUUAGGUAGCGCCUCGUGAAUUCAUCUCCGGGGGUAGAGCACUGUUUCGGCAAGGGGGUCAUCCCGACUUACCAACCCGAUGCAAACUGCGAAUACCGGAGAAUGUUAUCACGGGAGACACACGGCGGGUGCUAACGUCCGUCGUGAAGAGGGAAACAACCCAGACCGCCAGCUAAGGUCCCAAAGUCAUGGUUAAGUGGGAAACGAUGUGGGAAGGCCCAGACAGCCAGGAUGUUGGCUUAGAAGCAGCCAUCAUUUAAAGAAAGCGUAAUAGCUCACUGGUCGAGUCGGCCUGCGCGGAAGAUGUAACGGGGCUAAACCAUGCACCGAAGCUGCGGCAGCGACGCUUAUGCGUUGUUGGGUAGGGGAGCGUUCUGUAAGCCUGUGAAGGUGUGCUGUGAGGCAUGCUGGAGGUAUCAGAAGUGCGAAUGCUGACAUAAGUAACGAUAAAGCGGGUGAAAAGCCCGCUCGCCGGAAGACCAAGGGUUCCUGUCCAACGUUAAUCGGGGCAGGGUGAGUCGACCCCUAAGGCGAGGCCGAAAGGCGUAGUCGAUGGGAAACAGGUUAAUAUUCCUGUACUUGGUGUUACUGCGAAGGGGGGACGGAGAAGGCUAUGUUGGCCGGGCGACGGUUGUCCCGGUUUAAGCGUGUAGGCUGGUUUUCCAGGCAAAUCCGGAAAAUCAAGGCUGAGGCGUGAUGACGAGGCACUACGGUGCUGAAGCAACAAAUGCCCUGCUUCCAGGAAAAGCCUCUAAGCAUCAGGUAACAUCAAAUCGUACCCCAAACCGACACAGGUGGUCAGGUAGAGAAUACCAAGGCGCUUGAGAGAACUCGGGUGAAGGAACUAGGCAAAAUGGUGCCGUAACUUCGGGAGAAGGCACGCUGAUAUGUAGGUGAAGUCCCUCGCGGAUGGAGCUGAAAUCAGUCGAAGAUACCAGCUGGCUGCAACUGUUUAUUAAAAACACAGCACUGUGCAAACACGAAAGUGGACGUAUACGGUGUGACGCCUGCCCGGUGC
rnacentral:rRNA from 1 species